GGGGGCAUCAACCCCUUCCAGUGCCGGAAGCAAACGGCCUUUAAGUGUUCCGCCUUGGGGAAGUACGGCCGCAAGGGUUAAACUCAAAGGAAUUGACGGGGCCCCCGCACAAACGGUGGAGCAUGUUGCUUAAUUCGACGCAACGGGGAAGAACCUUUAGCAGGCCUUGACAUCCAGGGGAAUCCUCCCGAAACGGAGGAGUUGCCCUUCGGGGGAACCCUGAGACAGGUGGUGCAUGGCUGUCGUCAGCUCGUGUCGUGAGAUGUUGGGUUAAGUCCCGCAACGAGCGCAACCCUCAUCGACUGUUGCCAGCGGGUAAUGCCGGGGACUCUGUCGAAACUGCCCGAGCAAUCGGGAGGAAGGUGAGGAUGACGUCAAGUCAGCAUGCCCCUUAUGGCCUGGGCUGCAAACAUGCUACAAUGGACGGUACAAAGGGCAGCGAGACCGCGAGGUGGAGCAAAUCCCACAAAGCCGUCCUCAGUUCGGAUUGAGGUCUGCAACUCGACUUCAUGAAGUUGGAAUCGCUAGUAACCGUAGAUCAGCAACGCUGCGGUGAUACGUUCCCGGGGCUUGUACACACCGCCCGUCACAUCAUGG
rnacentral:rRNA from 1 species